CAUUGGAGCAUCUGUGAACGAAUUUCACAAAUGUAAUUAAAAUAUCUAGCUAGUACUUGGUACAGAGAUCACUGAAAGAGCAGGAGUCUAUCCGUUCAGGAUUUAAUAGAAAUUUUACUUCAGAGGCUUCUAGAGCCAGGAUCUACUGAAAUGGAAGGACCAUCUGUGAGGUUACUGAAAAUGAUCCAGAAAAAAGUACUGGAAGGUGAGAGAAGAUAUUUUUUCAUAACAUGUAAAUGUGUAUUUGCAUUUAAAAGCAAUAAGACCCUCCUGUUCCUGUGUUUCCCAAGUUUACAACCUUUACCAUUCCUCUAAUAGAGUUUGUGGGUUUUUUUGUUGUUUUUUUUUUGUUUGUUUGUUUGUUUGUUUGUUUUGUUGUUGCUGUUGUUGUUUUGUUUGGUUUGGUUUGUGUUUUUUUUUAAUUUUAUUUAAUUUUGUUUUGUUUUGUUUUUCUUUCUUCCUCUGACAGUAACAGGGAAAAGUAUGUUUAGUUUCCCUUCACAUCAAGCUGGUGAACUUACGUUUCAAGAAAGAACUUAGAUGUAUUGAAAUCAUCUUUUUUGCUGCAAUUAACCAACUGGCAGAAGGACUAUAGAUAUAUCACAGGCACAUACAGAGAAUUUCUGAACAUCCUGAAAGAAUAGCAUGUAGUUUUCCUUGUCCAACAAAGGCACAAUGGACCUGAUUUAUCUUUUAGAACUAUCUAAGGAAAUACACUGAAUCUGGGUUUAUUUAUACUGAGAUUACUUCCUAGUGGUAAAAUACAUUAAUGUGCCCUUAAAUUGAUGGUUAAUUGACCUUAAAAUGAUGGAUAAAAUGGCUUUAGUGACUUAUGUGAAUAAAGAGAAUCCAGUAUAUUUUGGCAACUUCUUAUUCCAGAAACAUUUUAUUUUAUUUUACUUUAUAUGAACAGUUUAAUUUGCAUGCUGAACACCAAGAAUUUUCUCACAUAUUAAUAAAGGGAUGAAAACCAAGUGAAAUUACAGGCACAGAUCUAGACAUCUGUCCUGCAGAAGCAGAACAUGUUGCUUGCAUGCAGUUUAGCAAAUCAUACUUAUCUUCUAUAAACUAAGCCUCAUGCCUAAGUGUCUGUGACCUCAGUGAUUUCGUUCUCCUUAUAAAGCCAUUAACACUUCAAAUGAUUCAUAAUUUGCUAAAUCUGAAUACAGAAAUGUUAGAAAUAAUUCAACUUAUUUUUAUUUUAUUUUGUUUUAUUGAAAUAAAAAAUGCCAGUGCUCAAGUCCAAUACCUACAUUAAGCAAAUCCUAGGUGAAAGAUUUUAAUAAAACCCUGUUUUAACAUUCCCAGGGAUAAUUUCUUCUUUCCUUGAAAGUAAUUAAAAAAAAAAAAAACAAAAAAAAAACAAAAAAACAAACAAAAAAAACAACGGUUGUUUUCAGAUAGAAAUUCAUGAGCAUUCUGGCAUUUUUAAUGUUUUUAAACUUUUUUCAACCUGUGCAAAUUCUCAUGAAAUAGAAAAACAUUUCUUAUUCAUCUGAAUUAUAGAGUAUUCAUAGGAUAAUUCCAUUCAGAAAAUGAUGGAAAACACAGCAAGCGACCUCAGAGAAUCACUCAGCAUACUGAAUUUCCUCUUGAUAUAGCAGAGAGCAAUUAGAUUUUUAGAAGAAAGAAAAUAUCUAUUACCUGUUCGUACUGUUAAUGGUCACAUCCACAAUCCAAUACAUUUAAACAGUUCCAAGUGAUUUAAUAAUUGCCAUUCUCUUACAAAAAUAGCAAUUUUCUCAUACCCUUACAAUAUGGAAGUAGUUUUCUAGUGUGAAUGUCUGCAUCUGCAAUUAUUCAUAUUCAGUGACUUGAAUUUUUAUAAAAGGUUUUUCUGGCAAAUCAGUUUAACUCAGUUUGUAAUCCUACUUUGUAAUUUAAAAAAUUGAAUGAAUGUUUCUAGAAGCCUUCUUCAGACUCCAUUUAUAGCAUGGGAACCAUAAGGGGACUGAUUUCCCAUCCCACUGAAUAUAGUAGUAGAUUUUUACUUGGAUUAAACUCUUCGUGAAAAUAGUUCUUGUAUGGAAUAGCCUUCAGAAAGGAGCGAGUGCCACAAAGCCCUGGAACAACAUAUUACAAGCACAACAGUGUUUCCAAACUACCACUUCUCUGUGCUUUCUUCUUCUUUAUAGUUGACCACAGCUAGGACAAUACCAAGUAACUUAGCUCCACUAAAGCCAAUUUUGUAUUUUAUUUCCAUAUUUUAAGAAAAAGACACUGUGUUAUCCUGUUUGUAGCUCAAAUACAGACAUAGAACCAAAUCUUUAAUUGCAUACACAGUUAUUGCAUUGCUCAUAAAACAUUUUUUUACAGAAAUCUUUAUUCAUGUGGAUUUUAGUACAGCCACAUAAUACAGUUCACUUAAAGAAAGAAAGCAAAAGUACAUUUUUUUUUAUAUCUGUGUGAGUGUCAGAAAAUCAGCUUUCUUAAUGAUGAUGAAAGAAAUAUAUGAUAUAUACCCUAUUCACUUCAAUUUGUUCACUAUUCAAAUAAUUCUUUUCUUGUCCUAUUUUUGUCCUGGUUAACUCAUUUUAAAAUUCAAUAGUCUCAUUUUGUCUAAAAAUCACACUCAUCUUUCUCUCAGUUUUGACUUCCCAAUCCCACAUUUUACUUGUGAACUAUGGAUACUAUUAUGUGUUCAGUGUUGCAACUUCUGUACCAAUAAAAAUCUGGAUCAGAAACAGCUUCUGAUCUCUCUCCCAAGGACAGUAAUGCUUGAUUAAAUUCUCUAUAUGCCUUGCUGAAAUGUCACUUGGGAUAUGAUUGCCCAGUGUUCUCUGCCCAAGUGCAUUGCAAGACCACCAUUUGGCUCAGUAAAAUUCCUGCAUGGGAGGAGGCUCUUAGUUUGCCUACACAGCAGUAUUUAUGUCUGUUUAAGGGCAAAAUCAUUCUGUUAGAUUAGUGCAGUGAUCUAGACAGAUGGACAGAGCCAGUGGUACCAAGGCAGUCUCCAUCUCAGUGCAGUCCCUAAGGCCCUCAAUAGCUGAGCAAGGUCAAAACAGCAAACUGAAACUGUGUCAGGAUCAGGUUUAAAGCUAUCCCUGAGGCACAUACUUCAUCCAUCUCUCCCAUCCACAGAAAAAGUGGGUGAAACUCGUAUAAGAGGUUCCUGAGGGAUGCUUGGGAAAAAGGGAGCACAUGUAAGAAAAGAGCUUUUGUUUUUGUGUUUCUGAAGGUUGAAGUAUUUCUGUAUUUCCUAUGUUAUAAAAGAAGAUAAAAAAUGCUUAGUGUAACAUUAAAGUUAAUCAUAUUUUUCCUUUUGAUUCUAUUGAGCUUUGCAAUAUUUCUGUAAUACCCUAAGUAGCACAGUAUGGAAUGUUUGAUUAUAUUUUAAGAUCACAGUGUUUACUGUAUUUUUUACAAACACUCAGCUGUUGCAUUCAUAUUUUUAUGUCUAUAUCUCGUACCACACUAGUUAUCUCAUAACACAUGUAGUAAUUUGGAACAGUUCUUGGUCCUGUGCUAUUUAAGAUAAAGAAAAAAGAGAGAAGAAACAACAAAAUUGUGGCAAGUAAGGAGAACAUGUCACUGUUGCAGAGUGACCUGGAUCAUUUGCAUGGGCAUAAGCAACAAUAUGUAUUCCAGUAUGUGCAAAUGCAUCUCUUAGGGAAAUGUUUUUGUCUUAUCUCCUGGCUGUAUGACCACCAUCAUCUUUAAAUGAUGAAACAUUAGAACUAAAGUUAGACUAUAAUUAACAU
rnacentral:lncRNA from 1 species